AGAGCCACCCGGUGAAUGGAACUGAAAUGCUACAGGAGUUUGCUUUGGGAUGCUGCAGUGCUGCUAAUGGCUGAGGGCAUCACUGAGAUGUUCUGUAACUCACUGCAGGCGAGAUGCCGCUUCAGUAUCCCAUACCUUUGGCUGCUCUUCGUCUACUAUACCUCCUCACACUUCUCCCAGUCACCUUUCCAGCAGCUGUGAUUCCAGCUGAUUUUGGCCACCCACAUUGAUCUGGACAGGAUGCCUCUCAGAUUACCUCUGUAAGAAGUGUUAAAUACGAGGAGAAAAGGCCAAAAGGAAAUCACAAAAUGGAUG
rnacentral:lncRNA from 10 species